GAGGAGCUUCCAAAGGGAAGAGGAGGAGACUAUGACUCAGUUGGGGAACUCAGAAAGAGUUCUAAGGGCUACCUUAGGUAUUGACUAUGGCAAGCAUGGUGUCCCUCGCUGGGGACGCAGAACAGAGCCCUGCUUCGUGGAUCUUUUAGCCCAAUGAAAGAAACACAGAGCACUCAAGAGGGCAUGAAGAUUGAAGUGGUAGGACGUAUCCUAGAGACAGCAUCCUAGCGCAGAAGGGGACCUUCCCCCAGUCAAGAGAUUUUGAGGAGUCAGUGACAGAGAAGACACACUUUCCUGCGAUCCAAGGAAGCAGCAGCUGACAGGAGGACAGAAACAGCACAUACAAAGGACUGACGGUGGAACGGAGUGGAGGACCAGAAUGUCUCCAUCAAGGUAAAAACCAAGCAAGUUUUCAUGUGUCCCGGGCCUGCUGAGAUCCAGUCUCCAUUCAUCCAAAGACAGUCAGCUGAGGAACAGCCAUAAAGUUCAUGGGACCUCAUGGGCAGAAGUUUGUUUCGGGCUCUGUAACUCACUUCUGAGCUAGUGCAGCCGCUCGCUCAGCUCUGUAAAUUAUCUCGAGGUCUUUGCGAGGGAACACGGUCAAGAAACACCAGCAACAUGGGAAGGGGACCUUCCCCAGAGUUUCAAGAUGGCACUCAGCACAGCGCCUCCUCCAGGAAGGUCUCCCAGCUGCAGCUUCCAGAGCAGCCCAGCACAGACACCCUGUCUCGCUCACCCUGGGCCUCGAUGCCUUCCUUACCUGACUCCUCCUCAUCUCUCAAGGCUGGCCUCAGGUGUGGCCUCCUCAGACAGCACUCCAAACCUGGCAAGGCCUUUUCUCUGGGUGCCCAGAGCUGGUCCCCCUCAAGCUGCUUGUCACUCUGACGAGGGUUUGCCUCUGUCUCUCAGCUGGACUGUGUGAUACCCAGAAGCUCAGAUCCCAUUCCUGUUUGUGUCUCUUACUUCUAUAAGCACAGAGGACACCAGCCAGGCUGUGACAGGGAUCCCGGAUGACGCUGACAGUGCCCUGGGUCAGUCUGUCUUCAUCUCCUGCCUUUUCCAUCAGUCUUUCAGGAAACUGUGUUCCUGCCGGCUCCCCACCAAUCACAGACUCCUUGAGGAAGAAACUGGGUCUUCCAACCCUGGGACUUGGAGGUCAGGCACUGCAUGCACACAGCAGCCUGAGGAACCGUUGGGCCUCAGUUUCCUUUUCUGUAAAGUGGGAAUAAUCUUACUUGUCUCCUCACAUUAACCGCUUCGAGAACCUCCCUGAAGAACUCUGCCCAGUGCCUGGCUCAUCAUGAGCCUGUCAGCCAAGGCUUUAAUGACUGAGGAUGGACACGGGAAUCAUGCUUCCUCCUAUACAGACAGGGAAAGCAAGUCUGGGAACCCACUGUGGCCAGAUCAGCAGUCAGGACUACGAGCCCCAGGGCAGCACAUGCAGCAUGAUCUCAGUUUCGGCUUCCCCUUCACACACACAGGGCCAGGACUGUGUUUCCCCAGCCCGCCUCCCUUCUGCACCACGGUUGGCUCCCACACUGCGGCCUAGCUCACACUGCUGGCCUCACUCUGCUCGGGCUCCUCAGGCGGCUACCGGAACACCGAACCUCAGCUUUCUGCUCUCUUUACAACCCUGGGCCUGAGGCACUGCAGCUCCAGCAUCACAUAUCACUGGUAAUUAAGGGUCCUGUCCCAGGGAGGGGCGUUUACCUUCUGCCAGAGACACUAAAUCCUACUCCCGGUGGUGUGGGGGAAUAAAGCAUCGCGCUGACCUAA